rnacentral:rRNA from 1 species
UACGUAGGUGGCAAGCGUUGUCCGGAUUUAUUGGGUUUAAAGGGUGCGUAGGCGGUUCCAUAAGUCAGGGGUGAAAUACAAUAGCUUAACUAUUGAGGUGCCAUUGAUACUGCGGAACUUGAGUACAGACGAGGUAGGCGGAAUUGACGGUGUAGCGGUGAAAUGCUUAGAUAUCGUCAAGAACACCGAUAGCGAAGGCAGCUUACUAGACUGUAACUGACGCUGAGGCACGAAAGUGUGGGGAUCAAACAGG